rnacentral:rRNA from 1 species
UACGGGGGGAGCAAGCGUUGUUCGGAUUUACUGGGCGUAAAGGGCGCGUAGGCGGCCACUGCAAGUCGGUUGUGAAAUCUCCGGGCUUAACCCGGAAAGGUCAAUCGAUACUGCAGGGCUAGAGUGCGGAAGGGGCAACUGGAAUUCUCGGUGUAGCGGUGAAAUGCGUAGAUAUCGAGAGGAACACCUGCGGCGAAGGCGGGUUGCUGGGCCGACACUGACGCUGAGGAGCGAAAGCGUGGGGAGCGAACAGG